rnacentral:rRNA from 1 species
CAUAGCGGAGGACAGAACCAACCGGGAUUCCCUGAGUAAGGGCGACUGAAAGGGGAUGAGCCCAGCGCAUAACCUUGCGGUCUUGUUUUGGCCGUCGAGGGGUGUUGCGUUUCGGUGGAUCCGUACCACUCGAUUUGCUGACCGCCUAAGUGAUUGCUUGAAUGCAGCCCCAAGGAGGGUGGUAGGCCCGUGUGGCGGCGCCUGUAAAAAGGUUGGAAGCAAGUUGGGUGGAGGGAUUUUAACCGUAGAGUCGGGUUGCUUAGUACUGCAGCCCUAAGUAGGUGGUAAACUCCAUCUAAGGCUAAAUAUUACCACGAGUCCGAUAUUUGACAAGUACCGUGAGGGAAAGCUGAAAAGGACUCUGAAGAGAGAGUUCAAGAGGACGUGAAACCAUUAGAAGCUGAAACGGGUGGAACUGUGAAGGUGGAAAGAGGGGAUUCAGGCUGUGGGCAUUGACAUUGGCUAGAGAUUUUGUUGAGAGAUAUGACCGGGCGUACGAGUGAGUUGCCUGUGCAUCUUUGGCCUUUGUUGUGUGUCUGGGGUCUUAAUUGUCCCUCGAGUACUGAUUGUGGCGAUCCGCUAGACGGACCCCGAAAGCCUUUUGAGACUGGUAGCCUAUACCUUUGGUGUGGGUGAUGACUUUUGAGGUGUUGAGUGGGUUUGUUUGGCGGAUACUGUGAGGAGGCAUGCUUGCAUGCCUCUCGCCAUGAUUUGAGGAUCGGUAAUCCACCCCACCCCUUGUUUGAAACAACGCAGCACCCAAU